UCCCUGGAGGACUAGUGGUUAGGCCAUGGCGCUCUCACCAAUGUGGCCUGGGUUCAUUUCCCAGCCAGGGAA